UAAGGUGUACUGUUUUUAAAGUUAUAGGGAUAAUUUACCCCAAAAUCAGAUUUUUUUCCGAUUUUACAAGACAUAUCCUGUUUAAGAUUCGUCUCAUUUGCCCCUUCUUUUAUUCUUUCUUUCUUUUAUGAUCCCUCAGUGAAACAAGCUUACAAAAAAUUUUACUUUUAGUGAACAACCUGAUCAAACUACGUGCUCAAUAUUUGGCCAUCAUAAUCCACCUUCCUCGUGUCGGCUUCUGCUUUUCUGUUGAAGGAAUUCGUUCGCUGAUGUUGCCCAUCGAUGGAGCAAGUCAAGGCAGCUGGGGUCAUGUAUCUACACACCACCACCAGUAUGUAAUCUGUCACAAUAUCACACUGAUCAUCACAGGAAGGCACAGAUUUACACCGCUGAAAUAACAGGAUGGAUCCUGGAGAAUCGGAGUAAAUUAUGAGACAUUAAGGAAAUUGUUGAGAUCAUUUGCAAAUUUUAGAGGAGAGGAAAAAUCUGAAAAGCAGGUAGGUUUUUCCAAACUAGGGUCCACGAACCCCUGGUCGUUCAUGGAGGAAUUUGUGGUAUCGCUGCCCGCUUUGUAGGUGGCGCUAUUGAGAACUGAAGUGUUGGAGUGGGGGAGAGAUGAAGGACUGUUGUGUUGUU